AGGGAAUAUUGCACAAUGGGGGAAACCCUGAUGCAGCGACGCCGCGUGAAGGAAGAAGUAUCUCGGUAUGUAAACUUCUAUCAGCAGGGAAGACAAUGACGGUACCUGACUAAGAAGCUCCGGCUAAAUACGUGCCAGCAGCCGCGGUAAUACGUAUGGAGCAAGCGUUAUCCGGAUUUACUGGGUGUAAAGGGAGCGUAGGCGGCAGGGCAAGUCUGGUGUGAAACUCCGGGGCUCAACCCCGGACUUGCAUUGGAAACUGUCAGGCUGGAGUGCGGGAGAGGCAGGCGGAAUUCCUAGUGUAGCGGUGAAAUGCGUAGAUAUUAGGAGGAACACCAGUGGCGAAGGCGGCCUGCUGGACCGUAACUGACGCUGAGGCUCGAAAGCGUGGGGAGCGAACAGG
rnacentral:rRNA from 1 species